rnacentral:tmRNA from 1 species
CAUCUUUUCACGGAGCGAAUAACACCCUAUAUGAAGCGUGCCGGACUUGAUCCGGCUAUGGCGAUAAACGGCCUUUGUAAUAAGCCUAUUGGACCCGGGGGCGGUACCCGGCGCCUCCACCAGAAACCGGCGGCCUUCUCGAUAAAGAAAAAGGCCGGCUUCUGAUGGGGGCGAAACAGGAUCGACAAGGGUGUAAAGAUUGGACUUUCGCUCGGCAUGAUACCGCCGUUAUCGGGUCACUAGAGUAGUUGCAAACGACAACUAUGCGGAAGCUCGUCUCGCUGCCUAAUGGCGGUGUGACACUUCAAAUCAAGUCCUGAGGGGUCGCACUCUCAGGCGGGGUUCGAAGGCACCUGGCAACAGAAGCCUUCACU